rnacentral:tRNA from 1 species
GCCCAGGUGCUGAAAUUGGUAGACAGGCAUGGUUGAGGGCCAUGUGUCCGUUUAGGGCGUGUGGGUUCGAGUCCCACCCUGGGCA